rnacentral:rRNA from 1 species
UACGUAGGUGACUAGCGUUAUCCGGAAUUAUUGGGCGUAAAGCGCACGCAGGCGGCUUAUCAAGUCUGACGUGAAAUCUCCCAGCUUAACUGGGAGCGGUCGUUGGAAACUGAUGGGCUUGAGGCAAGGAGAGGGGUGUGGAAUUCCCGGUGUAGUGGUGGAAUGCGUAGAGAUCGGGAGGAACAUCAGUGGCGCAAGCGGCACCCUGGCCUUGGCCUGACGCUCAGGUGCGAAAGCGUGGGGAGCGAACGGG